ensembl:lncRNA
GGCUGGUGAUGGCGGCGGCUAUGGGUUCCGCGCUGUUGCCCCUCUUGGCGUUUCUCGGGCCCGCGGCCGCGCUCGCCGGAUACAUCGAGGCCCUUGCAGCCAAUGCUGGGACAGGGUUUGCAGUGGCAGAACCUCAAAUUGCCAUGUUCUGUGGGAAGCUAAAUAUGCAUGUGAACAUCCAGACUGGGAAAUGGGAACCUGACACUUCUGGGACCAAGAGCUGCUUUGGAAGAAAGGAGGAGAUUCUGCAAUACUGCCAGGAGAUGUACCCAGACCUUCAGAUCACCAACGUGGUAGAAGCCAACCAGCCCGUCAGCAUUGACAGCUGGUGCAAGCGUGGGAAGAAGCAGUGCAAGGACCACACUCACAUCGUUGUGCCAUACAAGUGCCUGGUGGGUGAGUUUGUAAGUGAUGUCCUGUUGGUGCCCGAGAAGUGCCGGUUCUUCCACAAGGAGCGCAUGGAUGUGUGUGAAAGCCACCAGCACUGGUACACUGUGGCAAAGGAGGCCUGUCUGACAGAAGGGAUGAUCCUGCACAGCUAUGGGAUGCUGCUGCCCUGCGGAGUGGACCAGUUCCAUGGAACAGAAUAUGUGUGCUGUCCUCAGACUAAGGUUGUGGAUGAGGCUCUGUCCAAAGAGGAAGAGGAUGAGGAUGAAGACUAUGACCUCUACAAGAGUGAGUUCCCUACAGAGGCAGGUGUAGAAGACUUCACAGGAACAGCUGUGGAGGAAGAUGAGGAUGAGGAUGAUGAAGGGGAAGAGGAGGAGGAUGUGGUGGAAGACCGUGAUUACUACUAUGACAGCUACAAGGUUGAUGACUACAAUGAAGAGACACCCACAGAGCCCAGUAGUGACAAGGCUAUGUCUGAAAAAGAAGUGAGCAGUGACAUGAAAUUGCCAACUGAUGAUGUGGAUGUGUAUUUUGAAACCCCUGCUGAUGACAAUGAGCAUGCCCGCUUCCAGAAGGCCAAGGAGCAGCUGGAGGUCAGGCACCACAACCGCAUGGACCGGGUGAAAAAGGAGUGGGAGGAAGCAGAGCACCAGGCUGUUAAUCUCCCCAAGGCAGAAAGGCAGACUCUGAUCCAGCACUUCCAGGCCAUGGUAAAAUCUCUGGAGAAAGAAGCAGCGAGUGAGAAGCAGCAGCUGGUGGAGACUCACCUGGCUCGUGUGGAAUGGUUUGACCUAUUCCCUGCUCCUGUCCUGCAGCCCCACCGCAUCCUGCAGGCCCUGAAGCGCUAUGUCCGUGCCGAGAACAAGGAUAGGCUGCACACCAUCCGCCACUACCAGCAUGUCCUGGCAGUGGAUCCGGAGAAGGCUGCACAGAUGAAAUCCCAGGUGAUGACACAUCUUCAUGUGAUUGAGGAACGGAUGAAUCAAAGCUUGUCUCUGCUCUACAAGGUGCCAUAUGUGGCUGAAGAAAUCCAGGAUGAAAUUGAUGAGCUGCUUCAGGAGCAGCGUGCAGACAUGGAUCAGUUCACAUCCUCCAUUUCUGAGUCCCAGGUGGAUGUCAGAGUGAGCUCUGAGGAGAGUGAAGAAAUUCCCCUGGAUGGCAAACCUUUCCACCCGUUCCAGGUGAAAACCUUCCCAGCCUUGCCUGAAAGUGAAGAUCCUCAGCCGGAUUUGUACCAUCCAAUGAAAAAAGGUUCUGGCAUGACUGAGCUGGAUGGGCUGAUUGGUGCUGAAGAAAAAGUGAUUAAUAGCAAGAACAAGGUGGAUGAAAAUGUGGUAAUUGAUGAAACCCUUGAUGUGAAGGAGAUGAUUUUCAACGCAGAGCGUGUCGGAGGGCUGGAUAAUGACAACUCCCUCCGUGAUGACUUUGGCUUCAGCAGCAGUGCCCUUAUUGGGCUGUUGGUGAUUGCUGUUGCCAUAGCUACUGUUAUAGUCAUCAGCUUGGUGAUGCUGAGGAAGAGGCAGUAUGGGACUAUCAGCCAUGGAAUUGUGGAGGUUGACCCGAUGCUCACCCCUGAGGAGCGGCAUCUGAGCAAGAUGCAAAACCAUGGCUAUGAGAAUCCCACUUACAAAUACCUGGAGCAGAUGCAGAUAUAAAAGAGAUGAAGAUGGAAUAGCCCCGAUAGGAAAAGGUGCGGGGCGAAGGGCCAAAGUGGUCCAGUGUUUUGGAUCAACUACUGACCAACAGUUGCUUCAAGAGGACUUCAUCUUACAUUCAGAACUCCUGGAUCAUUAAGACUAUAAUUACUACUGUAGAGUUGCAAUUUCCAUUCUUUAAAAUGGGUGAAGAAAUGAUAAUAUAACAAUAUGAUAUAUAAAUCUCCUUAAAUGGGAAAAAUUGAUCUAUUGCAGAUAUUUGACUGAGAUGUAGUUUUCUUUUUUUUUUAAUAAUCUGAAAAAUACCAGUUCUGUUGUACUGUUGUCUGAUACAAGCUCUAUAUAUAUAAAAAUGGGAAAUGUUGAUUUUUAUUUCUGAUAGACCACCUGUAUAUUGAGGGUUGUUUGUACCAGCCCACCUUCAAAAAAGGAGGCAGUUGCGGCUCUUUGGUCAUUUUGGCUUUUGUAUAUAAAGCAUUAUUCUUUUCCUUUUUUUUUUUAAGUGAAUUUCACUGGGACUUGCAAAGAGAUUAAUUUAGGGAUAGAAGCUAUAACAGCAUAAGCAAAGAAGCAAUUGGGAACAGUAACUAACAAAAUUCCCUAUAAUGAGACAAAAAAAAGGAAAAGAGAAAAAAAAGGAAAAAAACCCUCAUCUUCAUAUGCCAGUGGUGUGCACCCUGCUGCUUAGCAGCUUGGGCUCUAGGAAUCAAGACUCCCUGGAGGCAAGGAGUUAAAAGGCUUCUAGCAUCUCUGUUUAUAGUUAUUCUAGUAGAAUGUUAGAACAUGGUUUGUGCAUACUUGGGUCUGCACAUUCCCCUUCGAGAUUCAGUUCUGCUCUAGAGUUGGAAGUUCUGGUAUUGAAUUGAAAUCCUCUGUUCUCAGCCAGUUUCCUUCAGUACUCACCUGGCAUUAACAGCCCCGUCUUGCUACUACUUUCUAAUUUCCCCAGCUCUCCUGCCUCACCAACAUGGUAAGUAGUUAAGAGCCACAGGUUUCUGAGCCUUUGCAUCUCCCUGGGUGAUGUUGGGCCAGAAAUGACAGAUCACUGCAAUAACUGAGGCCUUGGGAGCUAACAAACAGAGAGGUCUCUUAGCUGGGGAUGGAAGAGAGUGACAUGUUGGGAAAGGGAUGCUGCCUACUCUAAGGGAAAUAGAAUGCAUAGGCUCCAAGAAGAACAAAAGGGGCAUUGUUCCACUCACCAUCAUCAUGUCUUUGUAAUGCUUGUAUAGUUGGUGUUAAUGCUCACGGCUUUUUUUAAUCUGGGGGUUCUGGUAACCUGUGGUGUAUUUUUUCUAUUUUUCCUGUGACUUUAUUUUUUCUUCCCCUUUCCGUGUUUCUUCCCACUAUGCACAGAUUUACCUGCAAACUCCUUAGUGUGGUCUGUGGGGAAUGUACAAAGUUUAAACACAUCAAUAAACACUUUAACUUCCAGAUUGCUUCUUCUCUU